rnacentral:rRNA from 1 species
AACGAACGCUGGCGGCGUGGAUAAGACAUGCAAGUCGGACGAGAUUUUUCGUUGUAGCAAUACGAUGGAAAGUCUAGUGGCGAACGGGUGCUUAACACGUGGGCAACCUGCCAAGAAGUGGGGGACAGCUCGCCGAAAGGCGAAUUAAUACCGCAUGUGAUUAGAGAGGACAUCCUUUCCAAAUUAAAGUCGGGGCAACCUGACGCUUCUUGUGGGGCCCGCGGCCUAUCAGCUAGUUGGUGAGGUAACGGCUCACCAAGGCUUUGCAGGGUAGCUGGUCUGAGAGGACGACCAGCCACACUGGGACUGAGACACGGCCCAGACACCUACGGGUGGCAGCAGUCGAGAAUUUUUCUCAAUGGGGGAAACCCUGAAGGAGCGACGCCGCGUGGAGGAUGAAGGGCUUCGGAUUGUAAACUCCUGUCAUUGGGGAACAAGGUGCAUACGUUAACUGCGUGUGCAUUGAUAGUACCCGAAGAGGAAGAGACGGCUAACUCUGUGCCAGCCGCCGCAGUAAGAC